UGCAGUCGAACGAAUCCCCGUGGGGGCAACUCUGCGGGGGAAGUGGCGAAAGGGGCAGUAAGGCGUGGGUAACUUGCCCCGGGGCCUGGGAUAGCCGUCCUAACGGACGGGUAAACCCGGAUGCCCUGCCGUGAUGGCAUCACCGCGGCAGGAAAGUUUACACCCCGGGAGAGGCUCACGUAGUAUUAGCUAGUUGGUGGGGUAACGGCCCACCAAGGCCAAGAUGCUUAGCAGGUGUGAGAGCACGACCUGCGCCACUGGCACUGAGACACUGGCCAGACUCCUACGGGAGGCUGCAGUCGAGGAUCUUCGGCAAUGGGCGCAAGCCUGACCGAGCGACGCCGCGUGUGCGAUGAAGGCCUUCGGGUUGUAAAGCACUGUCGAGGGGAAGAAAAGGGGCAACCCUUGAUCGACCCCUGGAGGAAGCACGGGCUAAGUUCGUGCCAGCAGCCGCGGUAAGACGAACCGUGCGAACGUUGUUCGGAAUCACUGGGCUUAAAGGGCGCGUAGGCGGGCGGCCAAGUCAGGGGUGAAAUCUUUCGGCUCAACCGGAAAAGUGCCUUUGAUACUGGCUGCCUCGAGGGAGGUAGGGGCGUGCGGAACUUUGGGUGGAGCGGUGAAAUGCGUAGAUAUCCAAAGGAACACCGGUGGCGAAAGCGGCGCGCUGGACCUCUUCUGACGCUGAGGCGCGAAAGCCAGGGGAGCAAACGGGAUUAGAUACCCCGGUAGUCCUGGCCCUAAACGUUGGGCACUANGUAGUGGACUUACAUGGGUUCACUGCCGAAGCAAAAGUGUUAAGUGCCCCGCCUGGGGAGUAUGGUCGCAAGGCUGAAACUCAAAGGAAUUGACGGGGGCUCACACAAGCGGUGGAGCAUGUGGCUUAAUUC
rnacentral:rRNA from 1 species